GAUGAACGCUGGCGGCGUGCCUAAUACAUGCAAUUCGAGCGAACAGACGAGGAGCUUGCUCCUCUGACGUUAGCGGCGGACGGGUGAGUAACACGUGGAUAACCUACCUAUAAGACUGGGAUAACUUCGGGAAACCGGAGCUAAUACCGGAUAAUAUAUUGAACCGCAUGGUUCAAUAGUGAAAGACGGUUUUGCUGUCACUUAUAGAUGGAUCCGCGCCGCAUUAGCUAGUUGGUAAGGUAACGGCUUACCAAGGCGACGAUGCGUAGCCGACCUGGGAGGGUGAUCGGCCACACUGGAACUGAGACACGGUCCAGACUCCUACGGGAGGCAGCAGUAGGGAAUCUUCCGCAAUGGGCGAAAGCCUGACGGAGCAACGCCGCGUGAGUGAUGAAGGUCUUCGGAUCGUAAAACUCUGUUAUUAGGGAAGAACAAAUGUGUAAGUAACUAUGCACGUCUUGACGGUACCUAAUCAGAAAGCCACGGCUAACUACGUG
rnacentral:rRNA from 1 species